rnacentral:misc_RNA from 1 species
GAUGAAGAACGUAGCGAAAUGCGAUACUUGGUGUGAAUUGCAGAAUUCAGUGAAUCAUCGAAUCUUUGAACGCACAUUGCGCCCCUUGGUAUUCCGAGGGGCAUGCCUGUUCGAGCGUCAUUAUAACCCCUCAAGCUCAGCUUGGUGUUGGGGCCUGCUGCACUGGCAGCCCUUAAAAUCAGUGGCGGCGCCAUCUGGCUCUAAGCGUAGUAAUUCUUCUCGCUAUGGAGUCCUGGUGGAUGCUUGCCAUCAACCCCCAAUUUUUCUAUGGUUGACCUCGGAUCAGGUAGGGAUACCCGCUGAACUUAAGCAUAUCAAUACGCGGAGGA